UACGGAGGAUGCGAGCGUUAUCCGGAUUUAUUGGGUUUAAAGGGUGCGUAGGCGGCGCUUCAGGUCAGCGGUGAAAUACCGGGGCUCAACCCCGGGGCUGCCGUUGAAACUGGGGAUCUAGAGUGUGCGAGAGGUAUGCGGAAUGCGUGGUGUAGCGGUGAAAUGCAUAGAUAUCACGCAGAACUCCGAUUGCGAAGGCAGCUUACUAAGCCAUAACUGACACUGAAGCACGAAAGCGUGGGGAUCAAACAGG
rnacentral:rRNA from 1 species